AGGAUGAACGCUGGCGGCGUGCCUAAUACAUGCAAGUCGAGCGAAUGGAUUAAGAGCUUGCUCUUAUGAAGUUAGCGGCGGACGGGUGAGUAACACGUGGGUAACCUGCCCAUAAGACUGGGAUAACUCCGGGAAACCGGGGCUAAUACCGGAUAACAUUUUGAACCGCAUGGUUCGAAAUUGAAAGGCGGCUUCGGCUGUCACUUAUGGAUGGACCCGCGUCGCAUUAGCUAGUUGGUGAGGUAACGGCUCACCAAGGCACGAUGCGUAGCCGACCUGAGAGGGUGAUCGGCCACACUGGGACUGAGACACGGCCCAGACUCCUACGGGAGGCAGCAGUAGGGAAUCUUCCGCAAUGGACGAAAGUCUGACGGAGCAACGCCGCGUGAGUGAUGAAGGCUUUCGGGUCGUAAAACUCUGUUGUUAGGGAAGAACAAGUGCUAGUUGAAUAAGCUGGCACCUUGACGGUACCUAACCAGAAAGCCACGGCUAACUACGUGCCAGCAGCCGCGGUAAUACGUAGGUGGCAAGCGUUAUCCG
rnacentral:rRNA from 1 species